CGGAGACGGGGCUGAUAGUCACAGUUAGUCAUUUGGAUCACUCUAUGGUUCUCCACAGCAGCCAAGUGCCUAGAAGACUUUUUUUAGAUUCGUAUUUGAGCGCCAGGGGUUAGUUGACGAGACAAACAGGCAGGUGCACGCUUGGCGUCUUCUCGGUGUGAACCAGACGUGCAGGACAGCAAACGCAGACACCCGCCUGACAUCUCUGUGCUCUGUUCGUGGGUCGAGUGCAUAAUAAGUUCUACACUCGAGGCUUUCUUGUUUCAAAGGUACCUCAAUUUUCCAACAUGUCCCUACUGUCCCUUAAACCUACAACAGAACUGAGCGGAAGUGAUUUUCUGAAGAAUACCUUGUCCUUGCUGCUAUUUCACAGUCUCUACGAGAGCAGCAAGCCGAAGAAAGUGACUACUACUUCAGCCCUGGGUCCUAGGAGACUGUGACGGUUAUGGAGCUAAUCCGUAACAGCGGCGCUGAGUUCAGCCUCAGGAAAUGAAUAAAUGUUCUUUUGUGGUU
rnacentral:sRNA from 1 species